rnacentral:rRNA from 1 species
GACGAACGCUGGCGGCGUGCUUAACACAUGCAAGUCGAACGGAAAGGCCCUGCUUUUGUGGGGUGCUCGAGUGGCGAACGGGUGAGUAACACGUGAGUAACCUGCCCUUGACUUUGGGAUAACUUCAGGAAACUGGGGCUAAUACCGGAUAGGAGCUCCUGCUGCAUGGUGGGGGUUGGAAAGUUUCGGCGGUUGGGGAUGGACUCGCGGCUUAUCAGCUUGUUGGUGGGGUAGUGGCUUACCAAGGCUUUGACGGGUAGCCGGCCUGAGAGGGUGACCGGCGACAUUGGGACUGAGAGACGGCCCAGACUCCUACGGGAGGCAGCAGUGGGGAAUAUUGCACAAUGGACGGAAGCCUGAUGCAGCAACGCCGCGUGCGGGAUGACGGCCUUCGGGUUGUAAACCGCUUUCGCCUGUGACGAAGCGUGAGUGACGGUGAUGGGUAAAGAAGCACCGGCUAACUACGUG